rnacentral:rRNA from 1 species
UAGGGAAUCUUCCACAAUGGACGCAAGUCUGAUGGAGCAACGCCGCGUGAGUGAAGAAGGUUUUCGGACCGUAAAGCUCUGUUGUUGGUGAAGAAGGAUAGAGGUAGUAACUGGCCUUUAUUUGACGGUAAUCAACCAGAAAGUCACGGCUAACUACGUGCCAGCAGCCGCGGUAAUACGUAGGUGGCAAGCGUUGUCCGGAUUUAUUGGGCGUAAAGCGAGCGCAGGCGGAAGAAUAAGUCUGAUGUGAAAGCCCUCGGCUUAACCGAGGAAUUGCAUCGGAAACUGUUUUCUUGAGUGCAGAAGAGGAGAGUAGAACUCCAUGUGUAGCGGUGGAAUGCGUAGAUAUAUGGAAGAAUACCAGUGGCGAAGGCGGCUCUCUGGUCUGCAACUGACGCUGAGGCUCGAAAGCAUGGGUAGCGAACAGGAUUAGAUACCCUGGUAGUCCAUGCCGUAAACGAUGAGUGCUAAGUGUUGGGAGGCUUCCGCCUCUCAGUGCUGCAGCUAACGCAUUAAGCACUCCGCCUGGAGAGUACGACCGCAAGGUUGAA